rnacentral:rRNA from 1 species
UAGGGAAUCUUCGGCAAUGGGGGCAACCCUGACCGAGCAACGCCGCGUGAGUGAAGAAGGUUUUCGGAUCGUAAAGCUCUGUUGUAAGAGAAGAACGUGUGUGAGAGUGGAAAGUUCACACAGUGACGGUAACUUACCAGAAAGGGACGGCUAACUACGAGCCAG